ACAGUCGAUAGCUCAGUGGCAGAGCGGUGGGGCGUUUACCCAUGCGGCCCGGGUUCGAUUCCCGGUCGAUGUA